rnacentral:tRNA from 1 species
AGCCCAGACUACAAAGAUUGCAAAUCUUUAUUAGGGUAGGAUUACCCCUGGGCUU